AUAAGAUUAAUCAAAUAUCAAAGCACUUAAGCCCUAUUCAUCUUUCUCCUCAAAGCAAAACCCUAGCUCAUCAAGCUUUCUCCCUAAGCAACUCAAAUUUCUCCAUUAUUAUUUCGUUUAUGGCUUUCUUCCUUUUUCAAAUUUUUUGAGUUAUAGACACAUUUUUCUUGCUCUUGCUUCUUUGCCUUCCGAAUUUUAAAACACUUCUCUAUCUAAUACCAAAUUGAGCCGUCUUUUUCUUUUCUGUUUUGGCCUAUUCCCUUAAUAUGAUCUCUGUUCUUAAGUGAGUGUCACAGCAUGUUUUAUGGUGCGGGAAAGUUUCUGUCAUCUUGUUCAGAAAGGAGGCGUAGUUAUUCGUGUUGUUUAAAGUGGCUGUCUAGCAGCUAUUAUUUACUCCCUCAUUUCAUUUUAUAUGGCCCUAUACUAAUAGUAGUAAGUAUUUACAUAGUAGAUCCCAAUUUGUUCAGAACGAAGGUGUAGUUAUUCUUGUUGUUUAAAGCGGCGGUCUAGAAACUAUCAUGUACUCCCUCAAGUUUCAUUUUACUUGACCCAAUACUAAUAGUAGUUGUUUCAAUUUAUUUGUCCAUUUUCACACAUCAAUAGAGUUUUAUCACUAACUACUUUUAGUAGUAGUCAAAUUUAAUAAUAUGAAAUGUACUGAGUAUAUUAUGCUUUUCAUUUCUCCUGAGUUUAAUGGCAAUUUUUCAUCUUAUUAUACAUCAAUGUUUGAUAAGUUCAAAAACUAAUAGAAGGGAAGAAUGCCCAAUUCACACCCUGGAAGAAUAGAUGUUGUUUGAUCUUAUUUGCUCCUUCGCGGGAUUCUAACCUGCUUUUGGGAUCUCUGUAUAGCAAUCUAUACAUUAACUACUUGGAGUCUCUUAGGAGAGUUAGAAUAGUUGGUUUCACUAGAAAGAAAAGUGUCCACCAUAUUGCUGUCAAACAGAUACUCAUACAUGAUGGCUCUCUCUAUCUUAAAGUAAUCCAGUAUGCACUUUUCAGCUUUUCUUGGAACAGUUCGUCUCUCAUAUGUUGUUUGUGUUACGCGGUCUGUGAUUAGGAUGCAAGUACGACUGAAAUAAUGUGUUUGUCCUACUUGAAGAGGAUAGUAGAGCUUCAGUUUUCUUGAUUUUACCUCAUUAACUGAGCCCAGUGAAUGAGAUAACUUGGGAAAUCCAUCUGCAUUCCAUACGCUGUGAAUGGCAUUAUGUUUGAAAUUGAGGAACAAAGUUCACUGCAGCUUCCAGUAGGUCCUCAAGGUGCAUGGACUUGGUCGAUGUUCAUAAUUCUCACCUAAGUUGCUCCGACUCUCCAAAAAGGUUGGCACACCCGUGUCGGAUCUUUCAAAAGUACAUUAUUUUUCGAGAAUCCGACACGCACCCAUUGACAUUUUUGAAGAGUCUGAGCAACAUAGAUUCUCACCCUUGUGAUAGUUGUUAUGAUAAAGAUAAUGAAUGAGUCAGUUGCUGCUUUAUGCAUUCAGUUUAAUAUAGCACUUUUUUGUAUUAGGCUGGCUUAUUUUAAUAAGAUAAUGUUCAACCACUUAUCUAGUUUCUGAUUGCACUCAAAAAGUUGUUUCCUCGUGCUAAGAUAACCUUUCAGAUUCUAUCGUUUUGGAGGGACCUUAGCAUUUGAUGCAGAAUAUAGUCGAUGGUUAGAAGAACAGAACAAGCACAUCAAUGAAUUGAGGAACUCUGUCAAUUCUCAUGCAAGUGACCCUGAACUGCGAAGUAUUGUGAAUAAUGUCACUGCAUAUUUCGAUAAGGUCUUUAAGGUGAAAGGAAAUGCAGCCAAGGUGGACGUUUCCAUGUCUUGUCAGGGAUGUGGAAAACCCCUGCCGAGCGGUGUUUUAUGUGGAAUAGUGGCUUCCGCCCCUCGGAACUUCUUAAGUCAAGUGAUGCAGCUAGUGGGUCCAUUUGAACAUGGAUGCAAGGAGAUCACGUGAUGAUAGUGAUCCUAAUGACAGUCGUUGAUUUUGUUGUAAAUUGUCUUGGAUAUUCAAUUAUGAUGAUGUAAUUGUGUGGUUAGAGUGAAUCUUAGAAUAUUGAAGCUUUUGUGUUUAGAUUUGAUUUUGAAGUUUGAAGAUACUAGUUAAUAUUGAAAAUUUGGAGUUUGAAGAUAGCAAUGUUGAAAAUUAAAUUUUGAAGUUUAAUGUUCAAUGUGUUUU